AUCGAACGCUGGCGGCAGGCCUAACACAUGCAAGUCGAGCGGAUGAAGGGAGCUUGCUCCUGGAUCCAGCGGCGGACGGGUGAGUAAAGCCUAGGAAUCUGCCUGGUAGUGGGGGAUAACGUCCGGAAACGGGCGCUAAUACCGCAUAAGUCCUGAGGGAGCAAGUGGGGGAUCUUCGGACCUCACGCUCUCAGAUGAGCCUAGGUCGGAUUAGCUAGUUGGUGGGGUAAAGGCCUACCAAGGCGACGAUCCGUAACUGGCCUGAGAGGAUGAUCAGUCACACUGGAACUGAGACACGGUCCAGACUCCUACGGGAGGCAGCAGUGGGGAAUGUUGGACAAUGGGCGAAAGCCUGAUCCAGCCAUGCCGCGUGUGUGAAGAAGGUCUUCGGAUUGUAAAGCACUUUAAGUUGUGAGGAAGGGCAGUAAGUUAAUACCUUGCUGUUUUGACGUUACCAACAGAAUAAGCACCGGCUAACUUCGUG
rnacentral:rRNA from 1 species